AGUCAAGAAAAAGGCAGCUCAGACAACGGGAAGGACAGAAGGGUUUGCAGAGAGUGAAAGGAGCCAACGCAGGAUAGGGCAAGCCAGAGCAAACAGCUCUGGGCUGGGGUGGAGGUGGACUCUGGCAAAUGGAGAAGAACUUGGGAUGGAACUAACUCUCUGCCCCACCAAGGGCAUGGGGAAUAGCAAAGCCAAAGGGGGGCCAUCAAUUUUAAGCAAGAUAUCUCUUGAGGAAGUACUCGCUGCCAAGGGAGUCCAUGUUUCAUCAGCCAGUGGGCAGAUUUGACUGGAUUGCCAAAAGGGCUGGCUGGCCUCCGGGCUGCCAAUCAUUCCCCAAACCCUGAUCGGGCAGUAAAAAACCCAUGUGGAAGAGGGUUAGGGAGAAACAGGAGGAACCACGAGCACACAGCCAUCUCUGAGCCACAGCAUUUAGGAAAAUGCUCUCAACUUGGCAUGAUUGCAAGGGUUAAGUGAUUUGCCCUAGGUCAUGAAGCUUCUAACUUGGACAAGUCCCAUCAUCUCCCUGGACCUCAGUUCCCCCAUCUGUAAGAGGAGGGAGUUGAACGGGAUGCUUUCUGCAGUUCUUGUCAGUGCAGACAUUCUGCAGGUCUAAUCAAGGGCUUCUGAUCUGCCAAUUUCAUCUCCCUGGAUUACUGUGGUUAUCUGAAGACAGGCCCAAGGGAACAACAGAGCCAGAGGGCUGAUCUGAGAAAGGCAGAGCCUGCUCCUCUUUGAGAGCCCCCUGGAGCCCUUGCAGAGGCAUCCCCAGGCUUAGGAGGCAUCACUAUACAGGAGAGUCCAUUCCAGUUCCAGCGGGGUCCUCACCCUACCCCUACUCCCUGGGAGUCACACCUGUGAGGUCAGAUUCCUGAUCCUGGCUCCCUGCAUUUCAUUGUCAACCUAUGGCUGCACACACCACUGCAGAUGCUGAAGACACCGUCUUGGCCACAGGGAAGACUGUACUACUGAGACUACAAGACUGAGCCUGCCUUUUGAUUGGUCAAUGUUGCUUUUCCCUUGGUGGGAGAUGAACAAGAAAACAGACUGGGGACUCAAAACACACCAGGUGUUUAAUAGGUGGCUAAGUGAAUAGGCUUUCCAAAUUACAUGCCAACACAGCAGCUUGCCACAGCUUUCAGCCCACUGCUUGCACUAUGGUUUCUGGACUCAACAGAAAGGUCAAGGGAGUGCCAGCUGACUGUCACAUGGUCUGCAAGCCCCUGAUGGGAGGACCAAGUCAUCGACUCUAGCCUGCAUCUUAGCAUCUCCUGGGUUGAACUGACAAGCUGUUUCCAGCAUUCAGCCCCAGCAACUGUGAGUCCUGAAGCACUCCACUGUGCCCCUUGGCGAGCCUCUGCCUGCCCUCUUUAGCCUGACUCUGCUGUAGAUCAGAAAGGCAGGUUCAGGUCCUGGCCCUGGCACUGCCUUCCCAAGGGACUGGACUGGCUCCCUCCCCCAUGAGGAUAACUGCAGGGUGAUGGGGAGGUGAGUGCUUUGCCUCCUAGGAGGAAAGGCUACUAUGUGAUGCAAUGUCCACUCACUGUCAUUCCCAUAUUAGUACUGCACACAUCCCAGCACAGCAGCUUCAGAUACAUCCAGACACUUUCAGGGCUCCCCCCAGCCAGAUGGGAUGGCAUGGAACUGCUGGUGGCAACAGCAGAAGCACCUGUUGUGUGUGUGUGUGUGUUGCACAAGGACCCUUCUAGAGCUUGGCCCAUAUAUGUAUAGAAAACCACCUCUGAUGCUAUAUCUCCUAGUAAAUAGUGCUGUUUGUAAUAAUGUUUUACUCAGUGAUUACCAUAUGCAAGGUGUUAUACUAAACACUUGUCAUGACUUAUUAAUCCAGUGUUUCUCAAAGUGUGUCCCAAGGAACCCCAGCAGGAUCUCUGAGACCUUUUUCGUGUAUCUGUGAGGAGAGAACUAUUUUUAUAACAACUCUAACAUUUUCACUGUAAUGCUCUCACAAAUACACAGCAGAGUUUCCCAGAGCCUACAUGAUGUGAUACCAUAACACACUGAAUGACAGAGCAGAUAUGAGAACCCAGCUGUUUUCUAGUAAGUCAGACACUAAUCUAUACAAAUGUAAAGCAAUGUCACUCUUCUGUUUUUUUGUUUUACAAAAAAAUUAUUUUUCAGAAACAAUAUUGCUUAUGUUAACAUGCAAUCAGUUUUUUUUGUUUUUGUUUUUGUUUUUUUUUUUGAGACGGAGUCUCGCUCUGUCACCCAGGCUGGAGUGCAGUGGCACUAUCUCGGCUCACUGCAAGCUCCACCUCCCAGGUUCACGCCAUUCUCCUGCCUCAGCCUUCCGAG
rnacentral:lncRNA from 1 species